rnacentral:rRNA from 1 species
CCUACGGGAGGCAGCAGUGAGGAAUAUUGGUCAAUGGACGCAAGUCUGAACCAGCCAAGUAGCGUGCAGGAUGACGGCCCUCCGGGUUGUAAACUGCUUUUAGUUGGGAAUAAAAGGGGGCUCGUGAGCCCCGUAUUGUAUGUACCAUCAGAAAAAGGAGCGGCUAAUUCCGUGGCAGAAGCCGAGGUAAUACGGAAGGUCCGGGCGUUAUCCGGAUUUAUUGGGUGUUAAGGGAGCGUAGGACGUCUUUUAAGUCCGCUGUGCAAGUCCGCGGCUCAACCGUGGAAUUGCAGUUGAAACUGGAGGCUUUGAGUGCACACAGGGAUGCCUGAAUUCAUGGUGUAGCUGUGACAUGCUUCGAUAUCAUGAAGAACUCCGAUCGCGAAGGCAAGUGUCCGGGGUGCAACUGACGCUGAGGCUCGAAAGUGCGGGUAUCAAACAGGAUUAGAUACCCGAGUAGUC